rnacentral:tRNA from 6 species
AAAAAGAUAAGCUAAAUAAAGCUUUUAGGCUCAUACCCUAAAUAUGAAUUUAAAAUUCUCUUUUUA